UUAAAGGAAUUGACGGGGCCGCACAAGCGGUGGAGCAUGUGGUUAAUUCGACGCAACGCGAAGACCUUGCCAGGGCUUGACAUCCCCUGACCGCGUAUGAAAGUACGUUUUCACCCUCGGGUGACAGGGAGACAGGUGGUGCAUGGUUGUCGUCAGCUCGUGUCGUGAGAUGUUGGGUUAAGUCCCGCAACGAGCGCAACCCCUACGUUUAGUUGCUAACGCGUGAAGGCGAGCACUCUAGACGAACUGCCGUUGACAAAACGGAGGAAGGUGGGAUGACGUCAAAUCAUCAUGCCCCUUAUGUUCUGGGCUACACACGUGCUACAAUGGCCGGUACAGACGGACGCAAAGCCGCGAGGUGGAGCAAAUCCUAAAAAGCCGGUCUCAGUUCGGAUUGCAGGCUGCAAUUCGCCUGCAUGAAGUCGGAAUCGCUAGUAAUCGCAGGUCAGCAUACUGCGGUGAAUACGUUCCCGGGCCUU
rnacentral:rRNA from 1 species